CUCCUACGGGAGGCAGCAGUGGGGAAUCUUCCGCAAUGGGCGCAAGCCUGACGGAGCAACGCCGCGUGAGUGAGGAAGGCCUUCGGGUUGUAAAACUCAGUCACCUGGGAAGAGAGGUAUGGGGAGUGGAAUGCCCCAUACGAGACGGUACCAGGGGAGGAAGCCCCGGCUAACUACGUGCCAGCAGCCGCGGUAAUACGUAGGGGGCAAGCGUUGUCCGGAAUCACUGGGCGUAAAGCGUGCGUAGGCGGUCUUUCAAGUCCGGGGUGAAAACUCAAGGCUCAACCUUGAGAAUGCCUUGGAAACUGGGGGACUUGAGUACUGGAGAGGCAAGGGGAAUUCCACGUGUAGCGGUGAAAUGCGUAGAGAUGUGGAGGAAUACCAGUGGCGAAGGCGCCUUGCUGGACAGUGACUGACGCUGAGGCACGAAAGCGUGGGGAGCAAACAGGAUUAGAUACCCUGGUAGUCCACGCCGUAAACGAUGAGUGCUAGGUGUUGGGGGUUCAUCCCCUCAGUGCCGAAGGAAACCCAAUAAGCACUCCGCCUGGGGAGUACGGUCGCAAGACUGAAACUCAAAGGAAUUGACGGGGGCCCGCACAAGCAGUGGUGCAUGUGGUUUAAUUCGAAGCAACGCGAAGAACCUUACCAGGGCUUGACAUCCCUCUGACCGGUUCAGAGAUGGGCCUUCCCUUCGGGGCAGAGGAGACAGGUGGUGCAUGGUUGUCGUCAGCUCGUGUCGUGAGAUGUUGGGUUAAGUCCCGCAACGAGCGCAACCCUUGACCUGUGUUACCAGCACGUAAUGGUGGGGACUCACAGGUGACUGCCGGCGUAAGUCGGAGGAAGGUGGGGAUGACGUCAAAUCAUCAUGCCCUUUAUGUCCUGGGCUACACACGUGCUACAAUGGGCGGUACAACGGGAAGCGAGACCGCGAGGUGGAGCGAAACCCAAAAAGCCGUUCGUAGUUCGGAUUGCAGGCUGCAACCCGCCUGCAUGAAGCCGGAAUUGCUAGUAAUCGCGGAUCAGCAUGCCGCGGUGAAUCCGUUCCCGGGCCUUGUACACACCGCCCGU
rnacentral:rRNA from 1 species